GUGGGGAAUAUUGGACAAUGGGGGGAACCCUGAUCCAGCCAUGCCGCGUGUGUGAAGAAGGCCUUUUGGUUGUAAAGCACUUUAAGCGAGGAGGAGGCUACCGAGAUUAAUACUCUUGGAUAGUGGACGUUACUCGCAGAAUAAGCACCGGCUAACUCUGUGCCAGCAGCCGCGGUAAUACAGAGGGUGCAAGCGUUAAUCGGAUUUACUGGGCGUAAAGCGCGCGUAGGUGGCCAAUUAAGUCAGAUGUGAAAUCCCCGAGCUUAACUUGGGAAUUGCAUUCGAUACUGGUUGGCUAGAGUAUGGGAGAGGAUGGUAGAAUUCCAGGUGUAGCGGUGAAAUGCGUAGAGAUCUGGAGGAAUACCGAUGGCGAAGGCAGCCAUCUGGCCUAAUACUGACACUGAGGUGCGAAAGCAUGGGGAGCAAACAGGAUUAGAUACCCGUGUAGUCC
rnacentral:rRNA from 1 species